rnacentral:siRNA from 1 species
UCCGAACGACGCUUCCGCCGAA